rnacentral:rRNA from 1 species
UACGUAGGGGGCAAGCGUUGUCCGGAAUCAUUGGGCGUAAAGAGCGUGUAGGCGGCUCGGUAAGUCCGCUCUGAAAGCCCGGGGCUCAACCCCGGGAGGCGGGCGGAUACUGUCGGGCUAGAGUCCGGAAGAGGCGAGUGGAAUUCCUGGUGUAGCGGUGAAAUGCGCAGAUAUCUGGAGGAACACCAGUGGCGAAGGCGAUCAUCUGGGGCUGUUCUGACGCUGAGGAGCGAAAGCUAGGGGAGCAAACGGG